UACGUAGGGCGCAAGCGUUAUCCGGAAUUAUUGGGCGUAAAGAGCUCGUAGGCGGUUUGUCGCGUCUGCCGUGAAAGUCCCGGGGCUCAACUCCGGGAUCUGCGGUGGGUACGGGCAGACUAGAGGUGAUGUAGGGGAGGACGUGGAAUUCCUGGUGUAGCGGUGAAAUGACGCAGAUAUCAGGAGGAACACCGAUGGCGAAGGCAGGUCUCUGGGCAUUAACUGACGCUGAGGAGCGGAAAAGCUGGGGAGCGAACAGG
rnacentral:rRNA from 1 species